GUUGUGAGCUAUUGAAGGUUUCAGGACAGAGAAGCCCUGAUUGGGAGCCUCGGGAGCUGUGCUUUCAGAAGAUGGUUCUAGCAACAAUACAGCAGGAGAAGGAAGCGGAGGAAGUACAAGAGGGUGUGGUUCAUGGAGCAAGCCCUGGAGAUAGCAAUGAACUCCUGGAUGGCGUUUGAUUUAGGUUUAUAUUGAAGCCACGUGCUCCUCAAGUUCAUGCUCCCAGGGAGAGGUGCUCCAGGAGGGCCAGAAGGCCUGGACUCUGGGAACUGACCGGGCUGCCCAGGGGGCUGCUGAGCAGGGAGAGGACGUUGUGAUCCGGAGCCAGGAGCGUGAGGCCAGAAUCCUGGAUCUGCAGCUCACUCUCCGUGGGACCCCGGCCGAGAAGAGUGAGCAAUGGUCUCCGUUUGCCUGUGACUGAGGAGGGUCCCGGGACAUGGGACGUUCAGUGCAAAAACUGGCAAGGUCCUGGGCCAGGCUGGCCACCCCACGGAUGAGCUAUUUCAUCAUUCUGAGCUUCAGUCUCCUCGAGGGCGGGCAAGAAGGUGUUGAUGACUCCAAGAACCUUCGUGAACUCCCCGGUCCUCACACCUGUUGGAGAUGCUUAUUACAGGUGUGGGGCGGGGGGGGGGGGGCGUGGUUCCCCCCAGCCUCGAGAUCUGAG